rnacentral:rRNA from 1 species
GAUGGCGACCGGCGCACGGGUGAGUAACACGUAUCCAACCUGCCGAUGACUCGGGGAUAGCCUUUCGAAAGAAAGAUUAAUACCCGAUGGCAUAGUUCUUCCGCAUGGUGGAACUAUUAAAGAAUUUCGGUCAUCGAUGGGGAUGCGUUCCAUUAGGUUGUUGGCGGGGUAACGGCCCACCAAGCCUUCGAUGGAUAGGGGUUCUGAGAGGAAGGUCCCCCACAUUAGAACUGAGACACGGUCCAAACUCCUACGGGAGGCAGCAUG